CCAUAGCCCUGAUAGAAGUGAAAAUCCUUUUGUGCCGGGGUUCGGCACAAAAGAUUGAAACGGAUAGCAGGAUUAGCU
rnacentral:sRNA from 1 species